rnacentral:rRNA from 1 species
GAUGAACGCUGGCGGCGUGCUUAACACAUACAAGUCGAACGAAGCACUUUAUUUGAUUUCCUUCGGGACUGAUUAUUUUGUGACUGAGUGGCGGACGGGUGAGUAACGCGUGGGUAACCUGCCUUGUACAGGGGGAUAACAGUUGGAAACGGCUGCUAAUACCGCAUAAGCGCACAGCAUCGCAUGAUGCAGUGUGAAAAACUCCGGUGGUAUAAGAUGGACCCGCGUUGGAUUAGCUAGUUGGUGAGGUAACGGCCCACCAAGGCGACGAUCCAUAGCCGACCUGAGAGGGUGACCGGCCACAUUGGGACUGAGACACGGCCCAAACUCCUACGGGAGGCAGCAGUGGGGAAUAUUGCACAAUGGGCGAAAGCCUGAUGCAGCGACGCCGCGUGAGCGAAGAAGUAUUUCGGUAUGUAAAGCUCUAUCAGCAGGGAAGAUAAUGACGGUACCUGACGAAGAAGCACCGGCUAAAUACGUG